AGUGAACGCUGGCGGCAGGCCUAACACAUGCAAGUCGAACGAAGUCUUCGGACUUAGUGGCGGACGGGUGAGUAACACGUGGGAACGUACCUUUUGGUUCGGAACAACUCAGGGAAACUUGAGCUAAUACCGGAUGAGCCCUUAGGGGGAAAGAUUUAUCGCCGAAAGAGCGGCCCGCGUUAGAUUAGCUAGUUGGUGAGGUAAAGGCUCACCAAGGCUACGAUCUAUAGCUGGUCUGAGAGGAUGAUCAGCCACAGUGGGACUGAGACAUGGGACAGACACCUACGUGAGGCAGCAGUGGGGAAUCUUGCGCAAUGGGCGAAAGCCUGACGCAGCCAUGCCGCGUGAAUGAUGAAAGUCUUAGGAUUGUAAAAUUCUUUUACCAGGGACGAUAAUGACGGUACCUAGAGAAAAAGCCCCGGCUAACUACGUGCCAGCCGCCGCAGUAA
rnacentral:rRNA from 1 species